CAGCCGCCACGGUAAUACGGAGGGUGCAAGCGUUAAUCGGAAUUACUGGGCGUAAAGCGCACGCAGGCGGUCUGUCAAGUCAGAUGUGAAAUCCCCGGGCUUAACCUGGGAACUGCAUUUGAAACUGGCAGGCUAGAGUCUUGUAGAGGGGGGUAGAAUUCCAGGUGUAGCGGUGAAAUGCGUAGAGAUCUGGAGGAAUACCGGUGGCGAAGGCGGCCCCCUGGACAAAGACUGACGCUCAGGUGCGAAAGCGUGGGGAGCAAACAGGAUUAGAUACCCCUGUAGUCCCUGUCUCUUAUAC
rnacentral:rRNA from 1 species